rnacentral:rRNA from 1 species
GCCGUCUGUUGCCACCACGAAAGGUGGGGACGUCAGGCGGGACCGGCCGGUGACAAACCGGAGGAAGGUGGGGACGACGUCAAGUCAUCAUGGCCCUUAUGUCCUGGGCCACACACGUGCUACAAUGGCCGGUACAGAGCGCAGCGAGGCCGCGAGGCGGAGCGAAUCGCUUAAAGCCGGUCCCAGUACGGAUUGGAGUCUGCAACCCGACUCCAUGAAGUUGGAAUCGCUAGUAAUCGCGCAUCAGCAUGGCGCGGUGAAUACGUUCCCGGGCCUU